ACCACCGUCCUCGAAUACUUCUGCCAUGGCCUUCCUAGGUAAGUCUCAACAGAGCCCUGCACAGGUUUCAAAUCCCCUGAAACAACCAGAAAAAAUAGGUACGUCUGUACUCUCGGUGUUUGCAUUAAGCAGAUGUCUGCUAAUUAUUUUCCCUACUAAUGACAAACUCUUAAUCGGAUCAUAUCAUAUAUUAAAUUAAUUAUUUAUGUCUUUUCUCACUUUA